UGCCUGCUCCCCAUUUCUAUCUCCACCCACCAUCAGAUAGCAAUUCAGGGGUAAAACAUCAACUGGGAAGGGGAAGGCGAGUUUAACUAGAGUCUAGAGAGGAUUUCCAGGGGCUAUGCCAUCACUCUGCCGUCAAGAAGGAAGGCGUCUAAAUCUGACAAGAGGGGCCAAAGGAAAGAGUCCCAGAUAGACGGAUGACAUCCAAUUCACUGGUGAAGUGGAGACUCAGAUGAAGAAAGCAGGGAUGGCUCCUGUUUCUCUGAAGAGUUCUGGAUGUGGGAACAAUUCAGCUUUUUCCCACUUCUCAGCCAUACCAUCGUCAGUCACCUCAGAAUGUUUAAUUCUUUGGCAGACGGAACUGGUGAGGUGGCCCCCAUUACCGCCUUUCUUGACGUCAGUGAGGGAGUUGUUCCCUGUGGCUGUCUUAUGUGAAAUAAUUCAGCAUUUGUACUUCAAUUAAAUUCAUAGGUAUAUAUUAUUAAAUGGUACUGAC
rnacentral:lncRNA from 1 species